CAGUGACCAGAUGACCCCCCAAGUGACCCAUGGGCUCCUUGCACAGCCCCCCUUUAUAACAAGGGGAGGGGCUGCAAUCUCUCUCUUUCCUGCUGAGGUCCAGUGCAGUCAUCUCAGUGUCUGUGUCCAGAGCAUUGGAGGCCUCAAGCCUAAAGUCCUGCAGCCACAAAUCAGUCAUCAUAUGGUGACCAAAAUCGGCCGUCAUCUUCUCUGGAAAAGAAAAGAAGUUCUGAUCUAUCAGCAAGGCAUGCUAACCACACCUCCAUAGUAUAGAAGUUCCAGAACAGUUCCCAUGUAUCGCACAAAAGAUCAGCACAAGUCUCUGUUUAUGACUCAACACAAAGCAGUUGAACAGUAGAAUUUAAAGACACAGCAUGUCAAAAAUAUGAUUCCCAGGGAAAGUUCUGACCUUGUGGACUCUGUGCUCUGGAGUAGACAUAUGAUUCAUGGUGGACAGUCUGUUCUACACCCAAUGAUACAGACAAGAGAGCAGAAAGCAGUGACCUUUACAGAUAUUCUCAUUACAUUUACAUAGGCUCUCAUGGGACUACCGCAGGAAUGCUGGCAAGCACUAAAGGAGGUGCCAAGCUGAAAAAGACUCUGAACUGCUCUUUGCUCUUAGUUUUCCCACAGAUUUCAUGGUCUGUCAGGAAGAUGUGACUGACGUAACCAACAUAAAAUAGCACAGCAAUAUUUACGUCACAAAGUAUUAUGUGUGUAUUUGGUCUAUAGAAGAUUACAUAUCCCUUGUGUAAAAUAAACUGUAUAUUACACUGUAUCCACAAGGGUUUUGUAAUGGGCACAUCAGAGGCUUCCAUAGUCAUGUAAUACAUUUUAUUCAUUUACUGAUUUACACUAUGUAUAAUACAUCAGUUACUGACUGAUCU